UCAUAGUGAGCAGCAGUGGGCUAUGGCCUUGGUUUUACCUGAGCUGUGAGCUGGAGCUGGCAAAGGCAGAAGGGAGGAGAGGCAGCAGUGGGACUGGACUGUUGAUCUGCCCUUGCUGGAUUGUCAGAGCUGGAUGCCUGGGGCCAGGAGAGCAGCAAAGGGUGUAUCUGCUGGCUUCUCUGGGGCUCAAGAAGGCUGAGAGGCAGGGGAGACCCUCAGAGGACUGAAGAUAAAUGUGAAGCUUGAGGAAUAAAUACCAAAUAAACACCAGGAACCUGAUUCUCCUCUCAAAGCAGGGAAAACAGAAGUGACAUUGUCAAGGCAAAAGGGAUACAUGAGGUCUCUUCUAGUAUGGAGAAAUUACAGACUUUAACUAGAAAAGAAAGAAAUCCUGAACACUGGAAACACCUUGCAUGAACAAGAUCCCUUGUGCAGCCAGACUGCGUGGGGCUCGGGUGACAUGAGGGACCAGACAAACCCCCCAGCUGUAGCAUACCAUGGAUUCACGU